GGGGAAUAUUGGACAAUGGGCGCAAGCCUGAUCCAGCCAUGCCGCGUGGGUGAAGAAGGCCUUCGGGUUGUAAAGCCCUUUUGUUGGGAAAGAAAAGCAGCCGGCCAAUACCCGGUUGUUCUGACGGUACCCAAAGAAUAAGCACCGGCUAACUUCGUGCCAGCAGCCGCGGUAAUACGUAGGUGGCAAGCGUUGUCCGGAAUUAUUGGGCGUAAAGCGCGCGCAGGUGGUUUCUUAAGUCUGAUGUGAAAGCCCACGGCUUAACCUGGGAACUGCAGUGGAUACUGGACGACUAGAGUGUGGUAGAGGGUAGCGGAAUUCCUGGUGUAGCAGUGAAAUGCGUAGAGAUCAGGAGGAACAUCCAUGGCGAAGGCAGCUACCUGGACCAACACUGACACUGAGGCACGAAAGCGUGGGGAGCAAACA
rnacentral:rRNA from 1 species